rnacentral:rRNA from 1 species
GCGCAUGAGUAUUGAGUUUACUAUAUAAUCAUUACAAGUGAUGAAAGAAGGCGAUUGCCGUACAUACCUGUCUAGAUCAGCAUGGGUUGAUAUAAUAGGAUUUUGGAGCUAUUUUGUCGGUUUGAGUUACGAUGAAAAGAUAUUAUUCAUUUCCUCGUGACUAAAUCCAACAAAAUAGUUCCAGAGUCCUAUACUAUUAUCCCAUGCCAAGCUUGUGACGACAGCAGCCUCCAGUGCCCCCAGAGUUAUGUUCGAGGGACGUGAACAGAACUGUUAGGAGACUCCGUGCUCAGAGGUGAAUCUUUUAUUGAUGUACAAGGAAGCCACUGCAAAGGCGUCUACCUGGGAUGUUUUCAUUGAUCCAGAAUAAAAGUUGGGGGGUCGAAGGUGAUCAGAUUC